rnacentral:misc_RNA from 1 species
GAUGAAGAACGCAGCGAAAUGCGAUAAGUAAUGUGAAUUGCAGAAUUCAGUGAAUCAUCGAAUCUUUGAACGCACAUUGCGCCCGCCAGUAUUCUGGCGGGCAUGCCUGUCCGAGCGUCAUUUCAACCCUCGAACCCCUCCGGGGGGUCGGCGUUGGGGAUCGGCCCUUUCACCGGGUGCCGGCCCCUAAAUACAGUGGCGGUCUCGCCGCAGCCUCUCAUGCGCAGUAGUUUGCACACUCGCACCGGGAGCGCGGCGCGUCCACGUCCGUAAAACACCCCAAACUUCUGAAAUGUUGACCUCGGAUCAGGUAGGAAUACCCGCUGAACUUAAGCAUAUCAAAAGCGGAGGA